rnacentral:rRNA from 1 species
GGCUUUGAAGUGUGGACGCCAGUCUGCAUGGAGCCGACCUUGAAAUACCACCCUUUAAUGUUUGAUGUUCUAACGUUGACCCGUAAUCCGGGUUGCGGACAGUGUCUGGUGGGUAGUUUGACUGGGGCGGUCUCCUCCUAAAGAGUAACGGAGGAGCACGAAGGUUGGCUAAUCCUGGUCGGACAUCAGGAGGUUAGUGCAAUGGCAUAAGCCAGCUUGACUGCGAGCGUGACGGCGCGAGCAGGUGCGAAAGCAGGUCAUAGUGAUCCGGUGGUUCUGAAUGGAAGGGCCAUCGCUCAACGGAUAAAAGGUACUCCGGGGAUAACAGGCUGAUACCGCCCAAGAGUUCAUAUCGACGGCGGUGUUUGGCACCUCGAUGUCGGCUCAUCACAUCCUGGGGCUGAAGUAGGUCCCAAGGGUAUGGCUGUUCGCCAUUUAAAGUGGUACGCGAGCUGGGUUUAGAACGUCGUGAGACAGUUCGGUCCCUAUCUGCCGUGGGCGCUGGAGAACUGAGGGGGGCUGCUCCUAGUACGAGAGGACCGGAGUGGACGCAUCACUGGUGUUCGGGUUGUCAUGCCAAUGGCACUGCCCGGUAGCUAAAUGCGGAAGAGAUAAGUGCUGAAAGCAUCUAAGCACGAAACUUGCCCCGAGAUGAGUUCUCCCUGACUCCUUGAGAGUCCUGAAGGAACGUUGAAGACGACGACGUUGAUAGGCCGGGUGUGUAAGCGCAGCGAUGCGUUGAGCUAACCGGUACUAAUGAACCGUGAGGCUUAACCUUACAACGCCGAAGCUGUU